rnacentral:rRNA from 1 species
GACGAACGCUGGCGGCGUGCUUAACACAUGCCAGUCGAACGGAAAGGCCCUGCUUUUGUGGGGUGCUCGAGUGGCGAACGGGUGAGUAACACGUGAGUAACCUGCCCUUGACUUUGGGAUAACUUCAGGAAACUGGGGCUAAUACCGGAUAGGAGCUCCUGCUGCAUGGUGGGGGUUGGAAAGUUUCGGCGGUUGGGGAUGGACUCGCGGCUUAUCAGCUUGUUGGUGGGGUAGUGGCUUACCAAGGCUUUGACGGGUAGCCGGCCUGAGAGGGUGACCGGCCAAAUUGGGAGUGAGAUCCGGCCCAGACGCCGACGGGAGGCAGCAGGGGGGAAUAGUGAACAAUGGGCGGAAGCCUGAUGCAGCAACGCCGCGUGAGGGAUGACGGCCUUCGGGUUGUAAACCGCUUGCGGCUGGGAAGAAGCGUGAGUGACGGUACGGGGAAAAGAAGCACCGGCUAACUACGUG